CUCUGGCUCCAUCAGACAGUCCUUCUGCGCAUGUCUGGCUCCAAUUUCAGCAGUCUUUUGCGACAGUUGGUGCCCGUCAAGCAAGCGUUUUGCCCUCAAGCCGUUCAAUGGGAAAAAGGGCUGUCGCGUCGUCCAUAUUUUUUACAGUCAUUGGUCUACCCUCUUUAACCAUUGUCAAUCAUAAUUCUGCAUGACUUACAGCUUAAUUUUAUGUUAAUGUUUAUCAGGUUCCAUUUGGUGAAAUAAUAUCUGCUGCUCAAAGCCUGGUGUCGAGGCUCACCAACACCCUAAGAUCACCAGAGAACACAAACCAACUAAGAGAGAUUAGUUCAACACAGAGAGAGAGGACAACAUCAAGUUUUCAGAGCCAGUCAGUUCAGCAAGAAAUGAGGUCAUUUCCUGGGUUUUUCCGAGAGGAGCGUAGAGGGAAAAGCUGUUUUGCACCAUAUAAGUGGAAAUGUAAAAGCUUAUUAAUGUAUUUUUACCUGCUGGACAAACAGCAUGAAAAAACACCAAAAGGAGAGGCAGAAGUACAUCUCACUAUGGCUGGACUUGAAAGACAGCAGUUAAAUGUGCAAGAAAAUUUCCCCCAUUCAGAGGUAUGAUUAAAGUUCCAUGCCCUGUUAUUUUGUAUUUCUGUAUUUGUUCCAAAAUUUUAAUGUAUUAAUUAGGGAUGCUCGUUUCGGUUAAUUUUGCUAACCGACAACCGUCGCUCAUUAAUCGGUUAUUAACGGUUAACUGGUCAGAUUACAAUUAAUUUUAUAUUAAACAAAUUGACGUGUCUAUUUUGUGUCUGACACAUUAAAUAAUGCAUUUUAAAAUACUAAUUUAUUUUUAUAUGCUAGUGUAACCCAGAUUACUGAAGGGUUAUAUUUGUACAUUUAUAAAAUAAUAUAAAUGAUCAGGGGAUAAAACAACAUAUAACUGUGGAUUCAUUGUUCUAAAAUGUUCUUAAUAAGAAAUAAAUUGUUUAAAAAUAAUAAUGUGAAAUAUUCACAUGUUAUUGGUUUAGCCAAUCGGUGAUGUGUGGGAGGGAUUUGCGCUUGCUGACGCAGUGGGAAGAGACCGCCAGACUGUGGAGGAAGAGAGAGUGAGAUCGCUAGAUUUGAUGAUUUAAACUGUGAAAUCAGAUUAUAACUUUGAAACUAGUUUGAGAAACUUACAAAAAGCUUUCAUAGAGAAGUAUUUGAAGAGGAUUCAGUCGUUAAAUUGUUCCUGUGACGAUCGAUGGGAAAAUUGCAUCAUUGUGUUGUUGAGGAGUGACUAUAUGGACAUGACACAAAAUAGUUUCACCACGGACACGAAGAGUACGAAUCAAACAGCGACAGUCCACUGUCAAAAUACAUCACCGCGGUCACAGGCAUUAAUAAACGAGCCAGAGUCAUCGAACACACCAGUGCGCUUGCGUGAUGAGAUCCUGAAUCCUGACUGAAGGAAGCCCGCCGAACAAAAUGUCUGGGCAGCUCCAACACACCGUCUCAGGUUCCAUUUGGUGAAAUAAUAUCUGCUGCUCAAAGCCUGGUGUCGAGGCUCACCAACACCCUAAGAUCACCAGAGAACACAAACCAACUAAGAGAGAUUAGUUCAACACAGAGAGAGAGGACAACAUCAAGUUUUCAGAGCCAGUCAGUUCAGCAAGAAAUGAGGUCAUUUCCUGGGUUUUUCCGAGAGGAGCGUAGAGGGAAAAGCUGUUUUGCACCAUAUAAGGGGCAAUGUAAAAGCUUAUUAAUGUAUUUUUACCUGCUGGACAAACAGCAUGAAAAAACACCAAAAGGAGAGGCAGAAGUACAUCUCACUAUGGCUGGACUUGAAAGACAGCAGUUAAAUGUGCAAGAAAAUUUCCCCCAUUCAGAGGUAUGAUUAAAGUUCCAUGCCCUGUUAUUUUGUAUUUCUGUAUUUGUUCCAAAAUUUUAAUGUAUUAAUUAGGGAUGCUCGUUUCGGUUAAUUUUGCUAACCGACAACCGUCGCUCAUUAAUCGGUUAUUAACGGUUAACUGGUCAGAUUACAAUUAAUUUUAUAUUAAACAAAUUGACGUGUCUAUUUUGUGUCUGACACAUUAAAUAAUGCAUUUUAAAAUACUAAUUUAUUUUUAUAUGCUAGUGUAACCCAGAUUACUGAAGGGUUAUAUUUGUACAUUUAUAAAAUAAUAUAAAUGAUCAGGGGAUAAAACAACAUAUAACUGUGGAUUUAUUGUUCUAAAAUGUUCUUAAUAAGAAAUAAAUUGUUUAAAAAUAAUAAUGUGAAAUAUUCACAUGUUAUUGGUUUAGCCAAUCAGUGAUGUGUGGGAGGGAUUUGCGCUUGCUGACGCAGUGGGAAGAGACCGCCAGACUGUGGAGGAAGAGAGAGUGAGAUCGCUAGAUUUGAUGAUUUAAACUGUGAAAUCAGAUUAUAACUUUGAAACUAGUUUGAGAAACUUACAAAAAGCUUUCAUAGAGAAGUAUUUGAAGAGGAUUCAGUCGUUAAAUUGUUCCUGUGACGAUCGAUGGGAAAAUUGCAUCAUUGUGUUGUUGAGGAGUGACUAUAUGGACAUGACACAAAAUAGUUUCACCACGGACACGAAGAGUACGAAUCAAACAGCGACAGUCCACUGUCAAAAUACAUCACCGCGGUCACAGGCAUUAAUAAACGAGCCAGAGUCAUCGAACACACCAGUGCGCUUGCGUGAUGAGAUCCUGAAUCCUGACUGAAGGAAGCCCGCCGAACAAAAUGUCUGGGCAGCUCCAACACACCGUCUCAGGUUCCAUUUGGUGAAAUAAUAUCUGCUGCUCAAAGCCUGGUGUCGAGGCUCACCAACACCCUAAGAUCACCAGAGAACACAAACCAACUAAGAGAGAUUAGUUCAACACAGAGAGAGAGGACAACAUCAAGUUUUCAGAGCCAGUCAGUUCAGCAAGAAAUGAGGUCAUUUCCUGGGUUUUUCCGAGAGGAGCGUAGAGGGAAAAGCUGUUUUGCACCAUAUAAGUGGAAAUGUAAAAGCUUAUUAAUGUAUUUUUACCUGCUGGACAAACAGCAUGAAAAAACACCAAAAGGAGAGGCAGAAGUACAUCUCACUAUGGCUGGACUUGAAAGACAGCAGUUAAAUGUGCAAGAAAAUUUCCCCCAUUCAGAGGUAUGAUUAAAGUUCCAUGCCCUGUUAUUUUGUAUUUCUGUAUUUGUUCCAAAAUUUUAAUGUAUUAAUUAGGGAUGCUCGUUUCGGUUAAUUUUGCUAACCGACAACCGUCGCUCAUUAAUCGGUUAUUAACGGUUAACUGGUCAGAUUACAAUUAAUUUUAUAUUAAACAAAUUGACGUGUCUAUUUUGUGUCUGACACAUUAAAUAAUGCAUUUUAAAAUACUAAUUUAUUUUUAUAUGCUAGUGUAACCCAGAUUACUGAAGGGUUAUAUUUGUACAUUUAUAAAAUAAUAUAAAUGAUCAGGGGAUAAAACAACAUAUAACUGUGGAUUCAUUGUUCUAAAAUGUUCUUAAUAAGAAAUAAAUUGUUUAAAAAUAAUAAUGUGAAAUAUUCACAUGUUAUUGGUUUAGCCAAUCGGUGAUGUGUGGGAGGGAUUUGCGCUUGCUGACGCAGUGGGAAGAGACCGCCAGACUGUGGAGGAAGAGAGAGUGAGAUCGCUAGAUUUGAUGAUUUAAACUGUGAAAUCAGAUUAUAACUUUGAAACUAGUUUGAGAAACUUACAAAAAGCUUUCAUAGAGAAGUAUUUGAAGAGGAUUCAGUCGUUAAAUUGUUCCUGUGACGAUCGAUGGGAAAAUUGCAUCAUUGUGUUGUUGAGGAGUGACUAUAUGGACAUGACACAAAAUAGUUUCACCACGGACACGAAGAGUACGAAUCAAACAGCGACAGUCCACUGUCAAAAUACAUCACCGCGGUCACAGGCAUUAAUAAACGAGCCAGAGUCAUCGAACACACCAGUGCGCUUGCGUGAUGAGAUCCUGAAUCCUGACUGAAGGAAGCCCGCCGAACAAAAUGUCUGGGCAGCUCCAACACACCGUCUCAGGUAAGACUUUUGUUAAUCCCUCUUUGAGAAAUGUCCUCCAUGAGCUGUAAUAAAGGUUGAGACUUAAUGAGGUCCAUUUUCGCUGUGUUUCUUAGACAUUUUACAGAAUCAAAAUUAAGAUCGGGCCGAGGAUAGCAAGCUAAGUUAGCAUAACGUAAGUGAACUUGACAGGCAGCGAGCGCAGAACUUCUCAGUGAAUCACUUAACGGUGUUUAACUAUAACAUGGCAUCUGUUGAUUAAGUGUUUUUGAAAGCCAGAUAGAUUAUUGAUCUAUUAUAAAGAAGAUAUCAGCAAAAGGCAAGUUAAAUAUUUGAGGGUUUUUGCUUAUUUUUAUGACACUGAAUCAAAUCCAUCAAUUGUUUAAAAAACUUGAGAUCUACGUUAAUUAAUCUUAUUAUCACCGAAUGAGUGGGAAAAUAUAUUGAAUAAUGUAAUAGAGUCUGUGCAGAUUAGCAAUUGGUUAAAUAAGUGACCCGGACCCAUGGGCGUAAAUCAUGAGGGGCAGUCAUUUAAACACUGGUAUUUCAUCUGAAAGCUGAAUAAUUAAGCUCCUCAUUGAUUUAUGAGAGAAGAUUAUAUGUUCAGAUAUACGUUUUUAUAUUAUCUUUAAGUUAGCAAUCCACAUUACUAAGCAGAAAUGACGUUUUUAUAUAUUUAUAGCAAUUUACAAAGUCUUUAUAAAGAGAUUUCUUAUCUAAAGUAGACUAACCUAACUUAAAUAAUUUAAGCAAAUAGCCAAAAAAGUAUAUUUUGUCUCAUAUAGUGACUAUUUCCUCAAAUCUACCUGCUCAACAUAAGACUCGUUUCUUAGUAUUAGAAAAAUGCCCAAUAUCUAUCUGUCUGUCUGUUUUUAAUUAGCUCAGAUUAUGUCCUGCUUACAAGCACUUGAAUCUAUGAAAACUGAACAUACUAAGAUUUUUAGCAUAAUAGAAAAAGUGGACCUUUUAAAGACUAAAGACUUUGAUAUUAUUUUCUGCUGGAUUACCAGGCUGGUCAUAUGGGAUUAGUUGGAAAUGAGCGUGCAGAUAAAGCAUGAUAAAGGAAGAUAGAAGUCGGAGAUAACAGAACGUAAACUUCCUGUGUCUGAUGUUAAACCUGUUUUAAAUCUGUAUGUUAAUGAGAAAUGGCAGAUGGAAUGGGAUGAAUGUAGGAAAAACACAUGGUAUGAAGUGAAUCCAUUAAUUAAUGAAAGGAAUAAUUGCCAUUUUGAAAAUAGACAUGACCAGGUUGUUCAUACAAGAUGUAGCAUCAGACACUCAUGGCUUACACUCGCAUAUUUAUGAAAAGGGGAAGAAAUACCUAUUGGUGACUUGUGUAAAAAUAUUUUACCGAUAAAACAUUUUAAUAUGUUUAAAAUAUUUCCCGAAUAAAAACGUUCUCUAAUAUCAUGUAAAAAUACACAUUGUGUUUUUAAAUGAUAUUGGAGAAUGUUUUUAUUCUGGAAAUAUUUGAAGUGAGCUGUUUGAAAAGGUGUUUUACAAUAUUUAUCUUUAAUCUAACUAAAAGAUUGUAUAUGACUGUUUUCAGUGUUGUUGCUUGCUACUUGUAUGUUUUUUGUUGUUAUUUUAAAAUGUAUGUUUGCUAAGAUUGUUUACUAACUGAAAUGAGCAUCAUCAUGCUAACUGAUAUGCUAACUGAUAUGAUAUGAUUAUAAAUUGUAUAUUUAGUACAUGUUUUUUGCCAUGAAUAUAGCCAAUG